GUUAUAUUAAUAAAAUUAAUGUCUGGUUUGCAGUGUUAUAUUAAUAAAAUUAAUGUCUGGUUUGCAGUGUUAAAUAAAGCUGAGAUGCGAUGUUAAAUUAAUGUUUGCUUUGCAGUCCAAUCAUUAUGAUAUUGAUUUGAAUAUGCAUGAAUGUAAAUUUCAGGUUAUUGGGUGUGUCAGUAGAUGAUCUGUUGGGACUAGCCAACCGAACAGAACAAAGUAUCCCCAACAACUAGGCUUAUUGCUCACUAAUUGAAAAGGCAGAGCAUUUCAUCUUCAUUGAGGAUGGUGCAUACGGUCAAGAAUUACGAGCUACUUUAAGUAUGUUGUGUUUUAUAGGGUUUUGGCGCACAUAAAUAUUAGAUAGGUUUUAAAAAAUAAAUCUAAUGAUUAUUGGGAGAGUUUUUUAUUUUAGUAGAGGUAGUUCUAGAACAAUAUUUGUUUUAACUAUUCAGACAACUGUAAUAGAUAUAUAUUAUGCUUAUGAAUUUAAGUUAUUUGAAAUGUUUACUUUUUUGAA